GAACCUGUGGAAGGAUCAUUGAGAGGCCCGUCUAGCAGCGAGACCAGCGAACCAGUGACCCUAACGAGACACGCGUGGCUCGGGGAGCACGGCGCCGCCCGGUCUCAUGGGGGACCACGUGGCGAACCACCCCUGGCGCAAUGGGCAUCAAAGAAUUGAGAUGGAAUGAGCACGGCUCCUUCUGGGGAUUGCUGGUGCGCGUUCGAAACUUAUACGACUCUCGGUAACGGAUAUCUUGGCUCUCACAUCGAUGAAGAACGUAGUGAAAUGCGAUACUUGGUAUGAAUUGCAGAAUCCCGUGAACCAUCGAGUCUUUAAACGUAAGUUGCGCCCGAGGCCACCCGGUCAAGGGCACGCCUGCCUGGAAGUCACGCACCAUGCUGCCCCACCCGGCACUCGCCCCAUCCAGCGGCAGUGCCGUGGGGUGGAGACUGGCUGCCCGUGUGCCCCACGCGUACGGCCGGCUGAAAGGCAUUCACUUCCCCGCCGUGGCACGAACGCGGCAAUAGGUGAUUUGAGAGGCGGCUGCCUCGUCGGAGCCUGGGCACCGCACCCGGGGGCAAGCAGAACGAAGUGGCACCCAACUCAGGCAGCCCUCAGCGCGGCCCUCGUGCAUUGACCCCAGGUCAGGCGGGGAAACCAGCUGAGUUUAAGCAUAU
rnacentral:misc_RNA from 1 species